GAGCGUAGACUAUAAGGCACAGCUGCAGAGAGCAAUGGAGCUUGUAGAAAACCAAGUUUUAGCGUGAAAAAAAAUUGCUUAAUCUUCGAACACGUUUAGCACAAAACGUAAGCAAUGGAGCGUCGUCUCUGCGUUCUUCUGACCUGCUUACUUGCCUGCCUAAUUUUGGUAGAAGGGAGAGGUAAAGGAGGAUGUUCCAAGAAACCGAGAGGUGGAAAUUGCGCAGGCCACCACAAAACGUGGUAUUAUGAUGUGAAAACCAAGACUUGCAGAGCUGAAUUAUUAGGAGCAUGUCCCGGGGCAAAGAUGCUAAAUAGUUAUUCGACAUGCGAAGAAUGCCUGCAGAGAUGCAGACGUGGCCUCAAGGUUGACCAAGUUAAGAAGACCUGCAUACUUCAUGCAUAAACUGCAAGAAGGUUAUCCAAAAUGCAUGAAGCAACCUCGCCUUCAUAUAAACCUACUUUGCAGUAGACGCAAGAAUAAUGGUAAAAUAAAAGAAGAAGCAACCGUGUUACUGCUUGGAUUCAAUAGGCACGU